GAUUUCUGUCUCCCCACCUUUUAAACAGUAACCCUUCAUCAGCGUUAAAUUUUCAGCGGUUUCAAUUCCUUAACGACAACCCUUUAGCUUUUGCUAACGCUAGCCUGUAACAGCAGUCUCUCUGUCUUCCCUUCUUUGUCUCUUCCUCUCCUCAAAAUAUAUUAAUACUGACAAAAGGUGGAUGAUUCAAUUCAGCUGCAAAUGAUUGAAAUUCAAGAGCUGCAUGUGAUGACAAACCAAAUAAGAGAAGCUCCAGAUUUGUUUGCAUAAUGGUAAUACAAAAACAAUGUGGUUAGUCCAUCUUCUACUCUCUCUUUUCUUUUAUAGAUUUCUUAAUAUUUUUUCCCUGUUUAUUUCCAAGUGUAAUUCCCAAAUUUUGAAUGUGCCUAAAGGGUUAUUUGAUAAUUAUCCAAUUGGGGAGAGGUGAGAAAUUUUUUUACCUGCAAACAAGUUCAGGUAUUUAAAUUUCUCCUUCUGCCAAAGUCAUUAUUUUCUUUCUCAGCAUAACACAAUGCAAGACUUAUGCAAUGAUAUAUUUGUCUAGCUUAGAUUAUUGGGAGAAUUUAUGUGAAUCAAUCUUGGACAAUAUUAAGGGUCUACUUAGAUCCAUAGGAAAUUUUAGGAAAAAUAUGCAUAAUUUUUCAGAUCUAUAAAAUUUUCAUUUGCCCAAACUCAAACACUAAAAAAAAAACCUCAUACAGUCUAAGUUUCAUAGACUACAAAAAAUCUUUUUUUACAAAUUCCUGAUGCAAUAUGCUAUUCUUGAUAUAAAGUAUGCAUAAUAAAAGAACACCAAAAUCAGCUUAGAAUUAUGCAGGGCAAGGAUUCUGUUAUUAUAAAGAAAACAAACUUUUCCUUAUCCUAGCUGCCUUGACUAGGUUAAGUAGGAAGCAUCAUAUUCUUUUUUCCUUUUCUUGUCUUGGAUUUUUCCAUUUUGCAUGAUAAGUAAUGUCUAUAAUUUUUUUUAUCAAAAGCAAAAAAAAAAAAAAAAAAAAAAAAGUCUCUAAUUCCAUUGUUUUACUAUUUCAUUUUUCCAUCUACUCUACUUAAUAGAGUGGAGAGUCGCCUCAUUUAUGAUGAGCCUUAUGCAGGAAUUGGACUCUCAAUUCUAAUAUCCCUUAAGUCCAAGUAAUGGAAUGGGCUGGAUUCAUCUGUAUAGUUUUGUAUAGGUGAUUUUGCUGUAAUUUGGGUUUUCAUUUGUUGUAACAGUAUUAGUCUUUAUGUUGUAUAUGGAGGUUGCAAGUUGCAGCUUAAGCUACAAUAUGCUAUACAAAAUGAUGCAGAGCUUGCUCUGCUGUCUGGUUGUUUGGCUUGCACCAAUGUUUUUUUUUUUUAGAUAGGGAUUAAUUUAAAGAUUUUGAGUUUAUUUACGUUGCAUGCAUUAUGUGAGCCUAGAUUUUUGGGUUGGGUCUUCUCCUGUGUGAUUUCAACGACUAUUUGUGUAGGUAUGUGUAAGUAUUUUCUGUCACUUUUGUGUGUAAGUAUUUGGGUUGGGUCUUAUCCUGUGUGAUUUCAAUGAACAUGUAGUGUAACAGUAUAACUUUUUCUAUCAUUUGUCAACCACUUUGUUUUAUGGCUAUUGAAAUUGUUGUAUAAGUUAAUAUGGUCCUUUGAAUUGAUUCUGUUAUGGACCUAUUUUUACGUGUAAUUUAAUAAUUUUGUAGAAUUUGGGUUUGAUUCAUUUCUAUCUGUUUAAAAGAUUCAAUUUUUGGAAAUUCUGAGAAUUGGGGUUUUAUAUAUCAA